CGUCUAUAUACGUAUAGCAUAUCAAUAAGCGGAGGAAAAGAAACUAACUAGGAUUCCCUCAGUAACGGCGAGUGAAGCGGGAAGAGCUCAAAUUUGAAAUCUUCAAGGUUUUACCUUGACGAAUUGUAGUUUAAAGAAGUGUUUUCUGUUGGAUGUUUUGGUAAAAGUUCUUUGGAAAUAGGACAUCAUAGAGGGUGAGAAUCCCGUAUUUGACCAUUAUUUCCAGCUUUGUGAUACACUUUCAAAGAGUCGGAUUGUUUGGGAAUGCAGUCCAAAAUGGGUGGUAAAUUUCAUCUAAAGCUAAAUAUUGGCGAGAGACCGAUAGCGAACAAGUACCGUGAGGGAAAGAUGAAAAGAACUUUGAAAAGAGAGUUAAACAGUACGUGAAAUUGUCAAAAGGGAAGCGUUUGACACCAGUGUUGUUUUCUCGAAAAUCAAUUAAAAAUGGCGUGAUUUGUGUGUAUGCGACCUUAUCAGCUUUCUGCACUCUUUUCUUGUCCUUUUUAAUGCACUUUUCGUUUAACAAGUCAACAUCAAUUUCUUUUGUUGUAAAAGAGGUCAUUGGAAGGUGGCUUUCUUUUCGGAGAAAGUGUUUAUAGCCUUUGGCCUCUGCAAUCGGAGAGAUUGAGGUCUGCAGCGUAGAUCCUUCGGGGUUAGAUAGCAUUUAGUGCUAAGUUAUAGCCUUUCAUAGACAACUUGUUGACUAUGAUCAGUCAUGUAGCUUACUCGCUUAUGCUAUUUUACCUACGCUUAGGAUGUUGAAGUCAUCGUAUCGCGC
rnacentral:rRNA from 1 species